rnacentral:ncRNA from 1 species
GCAGAGUAGGUUUAUGCGCGUUAAGUGCCGGCUGAACAGGGAGUUGUCAGCUGGACGAAAAGGGGAAAACCCUUGCGGUGCGUAGGCCGCAUCCCGCUGC